rnacentral:lncRNA from 1 species
GUCUCAAGCAGGGAUGAAGGAGCUCGAGGGCAGGGGAGGGUCACUGUAAUCAGUUCUCUGCUGACCUUGGUGCUGACAGCACUGGGGACUUCCUGGAUGGUGCCUUCCGGAGUGCGCAUGCCCCUCGGAGACGCUGACAUCCUCACGGUGGGAAGACGACCUCCUACAACUCAAGGGGAAACCUGGAGCGGGUCCUUCCCUCCCCAGAGCCCUCAGAAGGAACCAAGUCAGCAGCUCCUAGAUCUCAGCCUCAGGCUCCCGGAGCUCUGAGUCCGCCAAGGUCUGUCCCCUAAGCCACCCAGUCUGCUAUCUGUGGGCCUCUGCCAGAGCAGCCCUGGCAAACAAAUUCACACCCAGCUCUGAGCACAAAGCAGGAAGAGACUCAGCAACUGAGGAAUCUUUUCCAAGUCAGUGGAAGAAUGAAGGGGUGGCCGUCCUUGAAAGGCCAGGACACCAGGACGCCUCAGUCCAGUUUUCACAAUUGAAUUUAACCAGGAAGUGACAAAAUGGCAUCGACCUUCAGACAAAUGAGACGUCACUCAUGGAGUCCUUAAGGUCACAAUGAGACCAGGAAUCAUAGCCAUCAUCCAGUGCUUCAUGGUCAGAGGGGAAGGGAGGUGCACAGCAUGUGACGCUCGCAAGGGACAGAAUGCAACUGGAGCAGGAAGGAGGAACACAGAGGCUGAGGAGGGGACUCGGCAUGGGCAGAGGCAGGGACAAAGGAGAGCUCCAAGCCCACCACAGGCGAGGGAAGAAGAGGUAGGCGAAUGCCCCACACAGAGUGGAACCCAUUUGUCGGGGUCCCAGAGCUCACAUUAGGGACCACAGAACAGAAAGUUCUGGUUUAGACGUGAGGUGUUCCCUGAAAGCUCAUGUGUGGGACGCUGCAAGGGCGUUUAGAGGUGAAAUGAUUGGGCUAUGAGGGCCCCGACCUGAUCAGUGCAUUAAUCCCCGGGUAAGGAUUACCUGGGCAGUAACAGCAGGCAGGUAGCGGGUGGCUGGAGGAGUGGGUCACUGGGGGCACGUCUUAGGGGUUCAUAUUUCAUCCCUGAUGAGCAGAGCUCCUCGUGCUUCCUGGCUGCGGGUCCUGAGCUGCUUUCCUCCACCAUGCCUUUCCCCCAGGAUGCUCUUCCCCGGGCUGCAUCUUGGGCCCAUUGCUAUGAAGUCUGCCCAGCAUGGACUGACCCUCUGCGGCUAUGACCCAAAAUGAGCUCUCUUCCUCCUCUGCACUGUUCUCCUCAGGUCUUUUGGUCACAGCAAUGAAAACAGCCACCCAGAGCAAUGGUUGGGGUCUUGGUUCCCCACCUGGAGCAGCUCGGAGCCAACAUCUCUGCAUCCAUCUCUCAUAAUGUCUGGGAAACAGGACUGUUAGCCCUUCCUCCAGUUGCCUACCAUCCCUUGAAAAGGCAUUCUUUGGUUUAAUUAUUCAUUGCAAAAAAAAAAAAAAACCUCUUCUACAUUUUUUGCUCUCAUUUUCAGUAGGAAACUUAUGUACAGUCCAUUAGGCCUCAAGAACAUGCCCAGCUCUGAUGGAUGGGCCUUGGUUAAGACACUGCUUGGCAUGUGCGUGUGUUUGUGUGUCGGAAAAGAAGCCUAGAAAUUCAUUCAGGAAACAAAGGAAGCCAGAAAUUUUUCUCCUAGGCACAUUUAGUUUGGUAAAUCCCUUGAUGCCCUCUGGCCAUUCCAGGACAGGGUGUCCAGAGGAAAUGUCUCUCCCGACCCAAGGUGGCCCCUGGGCUCACCUCACUGGCAUGCGGCUAGUACCUCACAGGGCUCGGUAGCUUGUUCCUCAGCACAGCCCUUGAGCUUGGAAGUUGCAACCCCUCUUUUCACCUGCCCUUGACAUUGUUCAGGGACAGGGUUGUUGCUAAGCCAUCAGCCCUCAGCAGGAGCUGCCCAUCAGGAACCGAGAGGUGAGUGGAGCUGGGGAUGUGGUAUCAGCAGGUUGAGAACUGAUGGUUUAAAGGGAAGGGAAAGGGACCCCUUGGUGUGAUAUUUUGUUGUAAUAUCUCUUAUUUUUGCUUUAUGUUUCCAUAUGGAUUGUUUUAUAUCUUGUACUGAUGCCAAAAUGACUUGGUGAUGUAGGUAUGGCCUCUCAGUGCGUAAGCUUUCCAGGUUCCUGCAAUUUUCCCACCAGCUGCGACUUAAAUGUGUCCCCCAGAGUGUGUUGGAGACUUCACCCCAGUGCAACAGCUCAGAGUGGGGCCCUUGGAGAGGUGCCUGGCCUACCAAGUUUCCAUCCUCAAGAACAGAUGAAUGCCGUGGGUUGUGGGAGUGGUUUGGCUCACAGGGGUGUGUGCUCCACAUAGAAGGACGUGUUCAGCCCAUGGCUGUCCCACAUGUGUGCUCUCUUGCCCUUUCACCUCUGCCCUGUGGGUGCCAUGUCUUUGGACUUUCCAGCCUUCAUAAUUAGGAGCCAAAAUAGCUUCGGUUCUUUCUAAGGACACAGCUGUAGUGUUCUGUUUUAGUGCUGGGGGAUGGACUGGGACACUGCCUUGGCACACCCGAGGGGCACUCUUGUUAGUAUCUAGAGCAAAGUGAGUGAUAAGGGAAGGGGCAGUGAGCAAGCCGUAGGGUUUGUGAAAGUCCGCUCCAGGGGCUGAUGCUUCUUGGCAAGGCACACCCUCCAUGCCUCCAAGAGGUGCAUGGGUAAAAUGCCAGCAGUGAAACUGGCACCCCUGACCAGAGUCAUCCUGCUCACAAGACACUUGGACCUAACCACAUGACCCGCUGCGAGCCCCACCCUUCAGAGCCCAUUAUUAGAGAAUGCGCAUGAAAGCCCUUCACCCCUGACCUCCAGGUAGCUCUGCCAAGAGCUUCAAAACUGGAGUUUUAAGUCAGGAAGCUUCUCACCCUAGACCUGGUCUCCCCACGUGCAGGG